rnacentral:lncRNA from 1 species
GAGGGUGUGUCAGGUACGGCCGAGCAGCGCCUGUCCACGCUGCCCCGGCAGCGCGCUCCUCCCGGAGGAGCCCGGAAACUGCCCUCCCGGAGCUUCCGAGGGGUCGGCUGCUGGGCGGGAGCGGAGAGGGGCGCAGGUCGCCAACGGGCCGCCCUGCCUCAGCCGCAGGUUCUCAAGGGCGUUGGUGGCUCCACCAGCUCGCCCGCCCGACCUCUCGCCGCCCCAGACCCGUAAACGUCAUUAUCUAUCUCCCCUUCUUGCUUUGGGUCUUCUGAAUUCCUGCAGUUGGGACAGCUCACACAGAGCAAAUUGACUUGCUAUGAAGCAUCGGCAACAGAAUCAGAACACAUGGGCGACAAAUUUCCAAGCCAGACAACAGAGCAGAGUGCUGUUAAACACUUUCUCACCCUUGAAGUGAUUACACAAGUUCCAACAAGCGGCAGCCUUGUGGCUGCAUACUUGCUGGGCUCCUCCUUGCCUCCCUCCAUCUCCUGUCUUUGGAGCUCGUAAUCCUCUCUCAGCCUCUGAGAGGCCCGAGCAUCUUGGCCUUUACCUCGUCCUCUGGAAAGUCUUAAUACGAGACUCUAGCGAUGUCUGCCCUGCUUCUGUUUUGCUGUUAGUCUUUACAACCACAAAGCAGACCACUUGGUCCUUCCAUGCUGCUCCCAAGGCCCCGUGCUUUGAAUCUUCCAGAUGGAUAAGUGUCAGGAAGGGAGGAGGUGCUGAGAACCUCUCUUCCUCAGGAGUCAAGCUGUUUCACUCUUUUUCUCCUACAUUGGCUGGAAGUGAUCUUGUUGGAAAUCUCAGCGGUAGAAAAUGCUUUCAUCAAGGGGUCUUGAGGACUGCAUUGUUCUGAUAAGUUUUUGGAACUGUGAAGGAAAUUGAACCCACAUUCAUCUAAACCCAACAGAAGAGUUUUUCAAGUUAUUUAAUGCAUUUGUUUAGAGUCAAGGCCUUGCAAUGGAACCCUGGCUGACCUGGAACUUGCUUUAUAAAUCAAGCUGAUCUGGAACUCACCAAUAUCCACCUGCCUCUGCCUCUCAUUGCUGGGAUUAAAAGCAUGUGACACCAUG